rnacentral:rRNA from 1 species
UACGUAGGAGACGAGCGUUGUCCGGAAUCACUGGGCGUAAAGCGCGUGUAGGCGGAUCGGCAAGUCUGCUGUGAAAGCUCCUGGCUUAACCGGGAGUGGUCGGUGGAAACUGCCAGUCUGGAGGACGGUAGAGGUAGGUAGAAUUCCCGGUGUAGUGGUGAAAUGCGUAGAGAUCGGGAGGAAUACCUGUGGCGAAGGCGGCCUACUGGGCCGGACCUGACGCUGAGGCGCGAAGGCGUGGGGGGGCGAACAGG